rnacentral:piRNA from 1 species
AAAUGGGCAUUGUACAGAGCAGAGUA